CUUUCAGAGCUAGAAAUUGCUUAAAAUUUUACACACGAAAAUUUUCAAAGAUCCUCGUACAAAUCAUGGGCGAUCCAAUCAAACAGGACGAAGGGAAGACCAAGGGGAAGCCCAAGGUAAAGCCCGUGGGGAACCCCGAGCAGCAGUCUAUGGACAAUAUCCGUGCGGUGCUGCUAUUCGCCUUCUUCAGCGCCGCCGUCCGUCUGCUGGCGCUGGUUGUCCAGAGGAGGAAUCCUGCCUAACGCCAGGAUCCAGCAGGCCAACAAUGAUACACACCGAAACACACUGAGACACCAUGGAUGCCAUCAAUCCUCAAGAAGUAGAAACUGAACAUUUGUGGACACAACAAGGAAGACACAACAGCCAUCAUUCCCAUAAAUGCCAGAGUGGAAAAUAAAUAAGAGUUCGUCAAUUAUA